CAAAUUAUAACUAUUUCAGUGAAUAUAUAAAGUCUCAGAAAAGUUUCAAUUCACAUCACAUUUCAAGCAGUGCAUAAAAAUCUUUUAUAACGUUUUAUCGUGUAUUUUGAAAAAUAAAUCAUGAAGGUUUUCUCUGUCUUGGCUUUAUUCUCCUGUCUCGUUGCUAUGGUAAUUGGAGCUCAAACUGCAUGCCAAUUGCAAAGACAACAAGAACAGGCUAAAAACCUUCUUGGCAACUUCGUUCCAACAUGUGAUUCAGAUGGUAGCUACAGCUAAGUACAGUGCAGCGGAUCAACUGGAUUCUGCUGGUGCGCAGACAAAGAUGGAAACCAACUCACAAAAUCUGUCCGAGGACGUCCAAACUGUUAGAAAUUGUUAAAAUAAGCAGUUUAACUUCAAUAAAGAAAAUAAAAAAACAUUUAAAAGAA